GAGGGUGUGACUCAGUGGUGGAGGGCUUGCCUAGAAUGUGCAAGACCCUGGGUUCCAUCCCCAGCACCGUACA
rnacentral:tRNA from 1 species